rnacentral:misc_RNA from 1 species
UUAACUAUUGUAUAAGACUCAGACAUCAUAAAUAAGAGUUUUGGGACCUCUGGCAGGCACAGACCAGCUAACGCCAGUGGUCAUGAGACGGGCUUGCCAAAGCAAAAAGGUAUUGUAAACAAAGGGUGGGAGAUAUACCCUAGAAGGGCAAGUUCUCUGUAAUGAUCCUUCCGCAGGUUCACCUACGGAAA